rnacentral:lncRNA from 1 species
UGGAAAACUUGCUAAAUCUGUCUUUCAGAUCAGGCAUUCAGUUCCACCCAGAAGCUGAAAAUAUUUGACAACUUUCAGUGUUUUUUCCUCCUCUGUGGAACUUAAAAAUACAGAACCCUGUGAGAAUGAAUGAGAAGCCCGGCUUAUGUAAUGCUGGUAGAGCUUAGCUGCACAUUCAGAUUGUAUUUAAGGCAAAGCUUAACAUGCAGAUGAGGUUUUACAAUUCUUCAUCCCUCCUGUUCUUCCUUGUUUCCCUAUAAUGGAUUUUGAUUUAUUUGAUAAUGGGAUCAGACUUCUCUCCUCUGUAUCAUCAGGAACCUUUACAAGUUUUCUGCUAAGGGAAGGGAUAGCAAGAUUUGCAUUAUGGGGCUUUUUUGUUAUCUUCCCUCCACUGCAACUGAGAUUUGAGAAACCAUGCAUGUGAGUGUCUGUCUGUGUAAGCAAUGUGGUGAUGAUCACUUUGAUCAGCCCUGGUACCAGCACUGCCAGCCCUUUUCCCACUGCACGCAGGAGCACAUCCCAUAAAUCCGGAGUGACUGCAGCCAGCCAUCUGCAAGGGAGCCAACAUUCAGCUGCAACGAGCAGGUCUCAGAGGAAAGGACUGGCAAACCACCUUCCUAUCGAGCCACAACAGCAGAGGAGAAGGAGGACAGGGCAUCAGGAACCAGGGCCAAAAGACCUAAAGAUGUAGUGGCUGCUUGCCCACAAUAAGUUCUUCCAAGUUUCAGGUGGGUCAUGUGCUUAUGAGCCUGGGCCCCAGACUGGAUUUUAAGUGCAGGUCCUCUGAAUUGCUACCUCGUGCCAG